rnacentral:rRNA from 1 species
AUUGAACGCUGGCGGCAGGCCUAACACAUGCAAGUCGAGCGGAUGACGGGAGCUUGCUCCUUGAUUCAGCGGCGGACGGGUGAGUAAUGCCUAGGAAUCUGCCUGGUAGUGGGGGACAACGUUUCGAAAGGAACGCUAAUACCGCAUACGUCCUACGGGAGAAAGCAGGGGACCUUCGGGCCUUGCGCUAUCAGAUGAGCCUAGGUCGGAUUAGCUAGUAGGUGAGGUAAUGGCUCACCUAGGCGACGAUCCGUAACUGGUCUGAGAGGAUGAUCCGUGAGACUGGAACUGAGAGACGGUCCAGACUCCUACGGGAGGCAGGAGUGGGGAAUAUUGGACAAUGGGCGAAAGCCUGAUCCAGCCAUGCCGCGUGUGUGAAGAAGGUCUUCGGAUUGUAAAGCACUUUAAGUUGGGAGGAAGGGUUGUACGUUAAUACCGUGCAAUUUUGACGUUACCGACAGAAUAAGCACCGGCUAACUCUGUGCCAGCCGCCGCGGUAA